rnacentral:rRNA from 1 species
AUUGAACGCUGGCGGCAGGCCUAACACAUGCAAGUCGAACGAGUGGCGGACGGGUGAGUAAUGUCUGGGAAACUGCCCGAUGGAGGGGGAUAACUACUGGGAACGGUAGCUAAUACCGCGUACCAUCGGCUGUGCCCAGAUGGGAUUAGCUCGUGGGUGAGGUAACGGCUCACCUAGGCGACGAUCCCUAGCUGGUCUGAGAGGAUGACCAGCCACACUGGAACUGAGACACGGUCCAGACUCCUACGGGAGGCAGCAGUGGGGAAUAUUGCACAAUGGGCGCAAGCCUGAUACAGCCAUGCCGCGUGUAUGAAGAAGGCCUUCGGGUUGUAAAGUACUUUCAGCGGGGAGGCGUUACCCGCAGAAGAAGCACCGGCUAACUCCGUGCCAGCAGCCGCGGUAAUUC